rnacentral:lncRNA from 1 species
CAAAUCCCUGCUGUACUGAGGAUGCAACUUGAGUCAAGGGCUCCACUCCAGAGGAAAGCAAAAUCCCUGGUCAACCCUCCCAACAGGGGACCUGCUGUCCUGUAUGUUGCUUUUGGUCUUCAGGACCCUGUCCUUAAACAAUCUUCAGUGUUGUGCUGCAGGCUCUAGUAUCCAUCACCUCCAAACCCCAGACAGAGGUCACUCAGCCUGCGACCUUGACAGUCUGCUCCUUCCAUUACUGUCACUGGCUUUGGGAGCAAGAAUUUGGCACAGACUCAGUCUAAGCCCCAUGUCUCUUUGA